CAGUAGCCGCGGGAAAACGGAGGAUCCAAGCGUUAUCCGGAAUCAUUGGGUUUAAAGGGUCCGUAGGCGGUUUAGUAAGUCAGUGGUGAAAGCCCAUCGCUCAACGGUGGAACGGCCAUUGAUACUGCUGAACUUGAAUUAUUAGGAAGUAACUAGAAUAUGUAGUGUAGCGGUGAAAUGCUUAGAGAUUACAUGGAAUACCAAUUGCGAAGGCAGGUUACUACUAAUUGAUUGACGCUGAUGGACGAAAGCGUGGGGAGCGAACAGGAUUAGAUACCCCUGUAGUCCCUGUCUCUUAUAC
rnacentral:rRNA from 1 species